GUGCCAGCAGCCGCGGUAAUACGAAGGGGGCUAGCGUUGCUCGGAAUUACUGGGCGUAAAGGGCGCGUAGGCGGCGCACUUAGUCAGGCGUGAAAGUCCUGGGCUUAACCUGGGAACUGCGCUUGAUACGGGUGUGCUAGAGGACGGAAGAGGCUCGCGGAAUUCCCAAUGUAGAGGUGAAAUUCGUAGAUAUUGGGAAGAACACCGGUGGCGAAGGCGGCGAGCUGGUCCGUAUCUGACGCUGAGGCGCGACAGCGUGGGGAGCAAACAGGAUUAGAAACCCCAGUAGUCC
rnacentral:rRNA from 1 species